rnacentral:rRNA from 1 species
GAAUCUGCCUUUUGGUUCGAAUAACACGGGGAAACUUGUGCUAAUACCGAAUAAGCCUUAACAGGGAAAGUUUUAAUGCCGAAAGAUGAGCCCGCACUUGAUUAGCUAGUUGGUAAGGUAAAAGCUUACCAAGGCAACGAUCAAUAGCUGUUCUUAGAGGAAGACCAGCCACAUUGGGACUGAGACACGGCCCAAACUCCUACGGGAGGCAGCAGUGGGGAAUCUUGCACAAUGGAGGAAACUCUGAUGCAGCGAUGCCGCGUGAGUGAAGAAGGCCCUUGGGUUGUAAAGCUCUUUCGUCG